CAAUGAAGAUCCUUGAACACCCAUGCUCG
rnacentral:sRNA from 1 species